UGACUUUAUUUUGCAGAUUUGUUUGUUGUUUUCUUGUUGAUGCAAAGAAUUGAAAAACACAAUAACUAUUGGUUGUUUUUUUCAUUACAGAAUACUAUUGUUGAGAGCUUCAUCGAAUUUUUUCCGGAAUCUCAAUUUGUAUGUUAGGAGUUGCCUUUUUCUAUCCAAAAAAUUUCAAUUAAUCCUCAUCCUAUUUCUGUGAAGUUCAGGUCGUUCAUUCAUGGAAGUUUAGUCUUUCUUUUAUGCUAACACUCCGGUGAGUUCAGUGUUGUUCAUGGCAACAAGUUUGGCAGGCUGCUCCAGUCCUGCGGUGCAGCCACAUCAUUGCUGCCAUGGAAGUUCACCUUUCUGGCUAUUGUGAUUCCUUGAAAUGGCGCUUUCUCUCUUUUCUAUUUCUCUUUUGUUUCAUUACUGAUGAUUGUAAAAUUGUGUAAAAAGUGUUGCAGUACAUACUUGUAUACGGGGCAGUAUAGCAGAUGCAUACAUGACUAUCUAAAGUAGUUCACUCAUACAAGCUGAAGUAGUUUCUUUUAUGAAAAAAAUCAUUGCUAAAUGCAACACUGGAUCUUGUUGGGAAGAUCAUUUUGUUAGAUUGGGAAGUUCUGCACAAAAGCCUGCUAGGUUUAGUUUAGAAAAUCAGAUAAUUUGUCGCUCUUACGAAGCUCACUUUAUUUAUCUCAGGAAGUUCGUAGGGUCCCAAGCUCCUGGAGCAUGUUGAUGUCUCUGCUGUGGAGGAUGGUCUGCGGAGCCUGUACAGCAACCACUGUUGUUUGGGAAAAACGCCGCUUUUUUUAAUCAGUUAAUUUUAUAUUCUACCCCAGAAGACCUCCAGGAGUUGAAGUUCGCUAUCGGAAAUUGGCAGUUCACUAUCUCUAUGGCGUUGAAGUUCAGUUUGACCGUGAUAGAAAUUCAUCUAAAAAAGCUAGAAGAAGUUUACUCAUUUUCGUAUUUGAAGUGAGUACCUAGUUAAUGUUUUAUUUUGGGGAAGUUGGUGUCCAUUGUGAACUACAUGUCGGCGGCCAUGCAGCUAAUGCAGCGUUGUAGAUUCCACCCGCACCAGCUCCCCAACAGUCUACUACGUGGGGUCAAGAAGUUCGUUGCGCCUCCACCGACAGUCCAGUGCGUGGUGCCGGACAGCCAAAGUGGGGAGUUAACAUUGCCGGCACUGGGAGUCCAGCCCGUCAACCCUCAUCGCCCUACUGGUAAAUGAGAAGUCCACUCGAAUUAUCCGAGCAUUACGUGCAUAUACAACAAGGACUCCUUGAGCGCCACCACCCUGACGAGGUGAUGCCACAUAAGACGAGGACAAAAACGUGGUGCCAUCUCUGCACUACUUCCUGGUGGUGAACGCGGCUUGCCGGUCACUCCCUGUCCAUGGCAUCGUCAAGCCCAACUGUUGCGCCGCGGGGGCGUCCGUUGCAAGAGCAUCGCGGCACGAUGUAGGCUGACUGAAGUUUACUGAUACUAAUUCGUGAAGUUCAUGUCUCCUGAUACUUCAUAUUAGACUAUUUAUGCUGCUUGGAUUUUAUUUCAAUCUGCUAGAUGAAUUAUUCGUGAUGUUCACUUCUGAUGUUUGUGCUGUGGGGUGGAUGAUUUUUGUACAUUAACUGUGUGAAGUUCACUCUUAUGCAUCUAGGGGAGCCGUACAUUUCUUUGUGAAAAAGAU